AUCACCGCCUCCUUGUCCCACCAAGGGCAGAAAGCCCAGCCCCGUCCUGGCUGGGCGGGACUCCAGUGCUGGGUGCCAAGGCCACCCGGCCACAGCCGCUCCCGCUCGCUGUUCGUCUUGCUUUGGUACCUCAGGACGCCAGGGACCAGAGCUACAACACCGCCACAGCCCCUCAUUCAAGUGCUGGGCCGCCUCCCAGAGCUGCAACCCUGACUCGGGACGGACCAGCGCAGCUAGUGCUGCGCAGCGCAGAUAAACUGUGACUGAAAGACCAAUGGCUGUGGACGCAGGAAUGCAGGCUGAAGACAGCCGCACUUCCCUCAGCGAGCUCUGGCUGUGCGCACUGUCCUCGGGAGUCAACUAGGAGUCCCCAGAGCUCUCUGCCCUGGACCCAAGCUGCCGCGAAGACACAGAGGAAACCUGGUACUGAGGACACAGUACCAAACCUGGUACUUCUUCAUAAAAGGUCUUCCAGCUGCAUGAGACAGGAGGUUUGUGCAGACCUUUACGGGGUGAUGAGACUAAGAGACGACCAAGUUAAGGCCUAAGUUCACACCAGUAGACCAGCGCACAGGCCCACUGAGUGGCCGGUGCGUGUGCCACUGACGCGGCGUGCGCUGCUUUCCCAGAUCCUCGGAGCCCAGGA
rnacentral:lncRNA from 1 species